CGCGUAGGCGGUGCGGUAAGUCACCUGUGAAAUCUCCUGGCUCAACUGGGAGCGUGCAGGCGAAACUGCCGUGCUGGAGUGUGGGAGGGGUGCGUGGAAUUCCCGGUGUAGCGGUGAAAUACGUAGAUAUCGGGAGGAACACCUGUGGCGAAAGCGGCGCACUGGACCACAACUGACGCUGAGGCGCGAAAGCUAGGGGAGCAAACAGGAUUAGAUACCCUGGUAGUCCUAGCCCUAAACGAUGGAUGCUUGGUGUAGCCGGUACCCAAUCCGGCUGUGCCGCAGCUAACGCGAUAAGCAUCCCGCCUGGGGAGUACGGUCGCAAGGCUGAA
rnacentral:rRNA from 1 species